CGCAUCCACUGCGCAUCUCAUCUGCCAGUCACGUGAUACAUUUUACCGAAUGAAUAUCUGCGUGAACUACUGCUCGGAUUGUCUUCUCCAGUUAAAAGACUAGGAAAACUAGAAAUCACAAUGGAUACAAAUAAUAUUAUUCAUAGUGCAAUAGAAUUGAUCAAUGAUAGCUCAUCAGAUGAUUCUGAUUUAUGGACAGAUAGUUCUGAUGAAGAGCUACUAUUGUUAAAUGAUGUGGAACAUAGACAAGUACCGAAAGUUGAAAAUUUUUGCGGUAUAAUUUUUAGAAUGCACGAAAAAA